rnacentral:rRNA from 1 species
AGCUUCUUCGGAAGUGAUUAAAGUGGCGCACGGGUGAGUAACGCGUGGAUUAUCUACCCUCCAGUUCGGGACAACUCUUCGAAAGGGGAGCUAAUACCGGAUAACACCUUUGGUUUUAUGGCCGAAGGUUGAAAGCUCCGGCGCUGGGGGAUGAGUCUGCGUACCAUUAGCUUGUUGGUGGGGUAAAGGCCUACCAAGGCGACGAUGGUUAGCGGGUCUGAGAGGACGGUCCGUCACACUGGAACUGAGACACGGUCCAGACUCCUACGGGAGGCAGCAGNGGGGAAUAUUGCGCAAUGGGGGCAACCCUGACGCAGCAAUGCCCGCGUGAGUGAAGAAGGCCUUCGGGUCGUAAAGCUCUUUUAUGGGGGAAGAUGAUGACGGUACCCCAUGAAUAAGCACCGGCUAACUACGUGCCAGCAGCCGCGGUAACACGUAGGGUGCGAGCGUUGUUCGGAAUUACUGGGCGUAAAGGGCGUGUAGGCGGAUAGGUCAGCCGGAGGUGAAAGCCCGGGGCUCAACCCCGGAGGGUCUUUCGGAACUGCCUGUCUAGAGAGAGUCAGGGGCCAGCGGAAUUCCUGGUGUAGAGGUGAAAUUCGUAGAGAUCAGGAGGAACACCGGCGGCGAAAGCGGCUGGCUGGGACUACUCUGACGCUGAGGCGCGAAAGCGUGGGGAGCAAACAGGAUUAGAUACCCUGGUAGUCCGCGCCGUAAACGAUGGGCACUAAGCGUCCGGCGGGUUCGACCCUGCUGGGUGUUGCAGUUAACGCGUUAA